GAUGAACGCUGGCGGCGUGCCUAAUACAUGCAAGUCGAGCGAAUGGAUUAAGAGCUUGCUCUUAUGAAGUUAGCGGCGGACGGGUGAGUAACACGUGGGUAACCUGCCCAUAAGACUGGGAUAACUCCGGGAAACCGGGGCUAAUACCGGAUAACAUUUUGAACCGCAUGGUUCGAAAUGGAAAGGCGGCUUCGGCUGUCACUUAUGGAUGGACCCGCGUCGCAUUAGCUAGUUGGUGAGGUAACGGCUCACCAAGGCAACGAUGCGUAGCCGACCUGAGAGGGUGAUCGGCCACACUGGGACUGAGACACGGCCCAGACUCCUACGGGAGGCAGCAGUAGGGAAUCUUCCGCAAUGGACGAAAGUCUGACGGAGCAACGCCGCGUGAGUGAUGAAGGCUUUCGGGUCGUAAAACUCUGUUGUUAGGGAAGAACAAGUGCUAGUUGAAUAAGCUGACACCUUGACGGUACCUAACCAGAAAGCCACGGCUAACUACGUGCCAGCCGCCGCCGAA
rnacentral:rRNA from 1 species